CCUACGGGUGGCUGCAGUGGGGAAUAUUGGACAAUGGGGGCAACCCUGAUCCAGCCAUGCCGCGUGUGUGAAGAAGGCCCUCGGGUUGUAAAGCACUUUCAGUGAGGAAGAACGCCUGGUGGUUAAUACCCAUCAGGAAAGACAUCACUCACAGAAGAAGCACCGGCUAACUCCGUGCCAGCAGCCGCGGUAAUACGGAGGGUGCGAGCGUUAAUCGGAAUUACUGGGCGUAAAGCGCGCGUAGGUGGCUUGAUAAGCCGGUUGUGAAAGCCCCGGGCUCAACCUGGGAACGGCAUCCGGAACGGGCAAGCUAGAGGGCAGGAGAGGAAGGUAGAAUUCCCGGUGUAGCGGUGAAAUGCGUAGAGAUCGGGAGGAAUACCAGUGGCGAAGGCGGCCUUCUGGACUGACACUGACACUGAGGUGCGAAAGCGUGGGUAGCAAACAGGAUUAGAUACCCGUGGAGGC
rnacentral:rRNA from 1 species